AAUAACUUCAUACGUUUUCCUUAUAUAAUCAUGGAGAUAUGGUCCAUAAGUUUCUACCUGGCAGCCUUAAAGUGCCGGACUAUAGGGAAAGUAAGAACGGAU
rfam:Bacillus cibi strain DSM 16189 Contig01, whole genome shotgun sequence.